rnacentral:rRNA from 1 species
AAUUUUGGACAAUGGGGGAAACCCUGAUCCAGCCAUCCCGCGUGUAUGAUGAAGGCCUUCGGGUUGUAAAGUACUUUUGGCAGAGAAGAAAAGGUAUCUCCUAAUACGAGAUACUGCUGACGGUAUCUGCAGAAUAAGCACCGGCUAACUACGUGCCAGCAGCCGAGGUAAUAAGUAGGGUGCAAUCGUUAAUCGGAAUUACUGGAGGGAAAGGGUGUGUAGGCGGGUGGGAAAGAAAGGUGUGAAAUCCCAGGGGUCAACCUUGGAACUGGAUUUUUAACUGGCGAGGUAGAGUAUGUCAGAGGGGGGUAGAAUUCAACGUGUAGCAGUGAAAUGCGUAGAUAUGUGGAGGAAUACCGAUGGCGAAGGCAGCCCCCUGGGAUAAUACUGACGCUCAGACACGAAAGCGUGGGGAGCAAACAGG